rnacentral:tmRNA from 1 species
GGGCUAGUAAUGGUUUCGACGGGGAUCAUGCAGCUGGAGAAGCGAGUCGUAUGCAAUGCGUUAAAUGGCAAACUUAAAUAUAAACGCUGAAGAAAAUUUAGCUUACGCUGCUUAAUUGCAGCAGUCUGACCUAGUGCACCUACACAUUAGGACCCAGGCUUCGACUAUGUAGGAAACGACGUUAGCAAAGCUUUGAGCUAGCGGGCGUAUCAUGAAGCUACUAAAGCCGUCAGGGUGUCUGUUCCCGGGCGGUGGAGGGAAUGUCAAAGAACUGACUACACUCGUAGAAGGACAGGGAAUUGGUUUUCGGACACGGGUUCGACUCCCGUCUAGUCCAUAA